rnacentral:rRNA from 1 species
AAAGCGUCCGCAGGCGGCUUACCAAGUCUGCUGUCAAAUACCAGAGCUCAACUCUGGGUCGGCGGUGGAAACUGGCAAGCUAGAGUACAGUAGGGGUAGAGGGAAUUCCCAGUGUAGCGGUGAAAUGCGUAGAGAUUGGGAAGAACACCGGUGGCGAAAGCGCUCUACUGGGCUGUAACUGACGCUGAGGGACGAAAGCUAGGGUAGCGAAAGGGAUUAGAUACCCCUGUAGUCUUAGCUGUAAACGAUGGAGACUAGGCGUGGCUUGUAUCGACCCGAGCCGUGCCGAAGCCAACGCGUUAAGUCUCCCGCCUGGGGAGUACGCACGCAAGUGUGAAACUCAAAGGAAUUGACGGGGGCCCGCACAAGCGGUGGAGUAUGUGGUUUAAUUCGAUGCAACGCGAAGAACCUUACCAAGGCUUGACAUCCCGCGAAUCCUGGUGAAAGCCGGGAGUGCCUUCGGGAGCGCGGAGACAGGUGGUGCAUGGCUGUCGUCAGCUCGUGUCGUGAGAUGUUGGGUUAAGUCCCGCAACGAGCGCAACCCUUGUCCUUAGUUGCCAGCAUUCAGUUGGGCACUCUAGGGAGACUGCCGGUGACAAACCGGAGGAAGGUGGGGAUGACGUCAAGUCAUCAUGCCCCUUACGUCUUGGGCUACACACGUACUACAAUGGUUGGGACAACNGGGCAGCGAAGCGGCAACGCCGAGCGAAUCCCAGCAAACCCAGCCUCAGUUCAGAUCGCAGGCUGCAACUCGCCUGCGUAAGGAGGAAUCGCUAG